rnacentral:rRNA from 1 species
CCUACGGGAGGCAGCAGUGAGGAAUAUUGGUCAAUGGGCUUACGCCUGAACCAGCCAAGUCGCGUGAGGGAAGACUGCCCUAUGGGUUGUAAACCUCUUUUGUCAGGGAGUAACGCCUGCUACGUGUAGCCGGCCUGAGAGUACCUGAAGAAAAAGCAUCGGCUAACUCCGUGCCAGCAGCCGCGGUAAUACGGAGGAUCCGAGCGUUAUCCGGAUUCAUUGGGUUUAAAGGGUGCGUAGGUUGUUUUAUAAGUUAGCGGUGAAAUACCGAUGCUCAACAUCGGGGCUGCCGCUGAUACUGUAGGACUAGAGAGCGGAUGCAGCAGGCGGAAUGUGUAGUGUAGCGGUGAAAUGCAUAGAUAUUACACAGAACACCGAUUGCGAAGGCAGCUUGCUAGGCCGGAUCUGACACUGAUGCACGAAAGCGUGGGGAUCGAACAGGAUUAGAUACCCUAGUAGUC